rnacentral:rRNA from 1 species
UACGUAGGGUGCUAGCGUUGUCCGGAUUUAUUGGGCGUAAAGGGCUCGUAGGCGGCGUGUCGCGUCGGGGAGUGAAAGCCCGCUGCUUAACGGCGGGUUGGCUUCCGGUACGGGCAUCGCUGGAGUGCGGCAGGGGAGACUGGAAUUCCUGGUGUAGCGGUGGAAUGCGCAGAUAUCAGGAGGAACACCGGUGGCGGAAGGCGGGUCUCUGGGCCGUUACUGACGCUGAGGAGCGAAAGCGUGGGGAGCGAACAGG